GAUGAACGCUAGCUACAGGCUUAACACAUGCAAGUCGAGGGGCAGCAUGUCGGUUGCUUGCAACCGACGAUGGCGACCGGCACACGGGUGAGUAACGCGUAUCCAACCUACCCUUGUCCAUCGGAUAACCCGUCGAAAGGCGGACUAACACGAUAUGCGGUUCUCAGCAGGCAUCUAACGAGAACGAAAUGUGAAGGAGAAGGAUGGGGAUGCGUCUGAUUAGCUUGUUGGCGGGGUAACGGCCCACCAAGGCGACGAUCAGUAGGGGUUCUGAGAGGAAGGUCCCCCACAUUGGAACGGAGACACGGUCCAAACUCCUACGGGAGGCAGCAGUGAGGAAUAUUGGUCAAUGGACGAGAGUCUGAACCAGCCAAGUAGCGUGCAGGAAGACGGCCCUAUGGGUUGUAAGCUGCUUUUAUAGGGGGAUAAAGUGUGCCUCGUGUGGCAUAUUGCAGGUACCCUAUGAAUAAGGACCGGCUAAUUCCGUGCCAGCCGCCGCUGUAAGAC
rnacentral:rRNA from 1 species